rnacentral:lncRNA from 1 species
GUAACACCAUCCUUCCACUCAGAUCCCACACAGAACAGAGGAAAGGUAGAGGUCAGAGAAAGGUGAAGAUCAGAAAAAGUAAAGACACAUCCCAUACACUUCAAAUACUGCCUAGCUGUAAUUAGAAAUGAUGAUUGCUUAAUAUUCAGAAUACUACAGAAUAUAUAAUACAGAAUAAUACAGAAUUCUUUCCUAUACUUUCAUGAAAAGUCUUUCAUGAGGAAACUCUUAUGGUCAUAUUUAAAAUAAUUAAAAUAUUUUUUCUUUAUUGAAGUGGAG